rnacentral:rRNA from 1 species
UUAAAGAUUUAUCGGUGGUGGAUGGGGAUGCGUCUGAUUAGCUUGUUGGCGGGGUAACGGCCCACCAAGGCGACGAUCAGUAGGGGUUCUGAGAGGAAGGCCCCCCACAUUGGAACUGAGACACGGUCCAAACUCCUACGGGAGGCAGCAGUGAGGAAUAUUGGUCAAUGGACGAGAGUCUGAACCAGCCCAAGUAGCGUGCAGGAUGACGGCCCUAUGGGUUGUAAACUGCUUUUAUAAGGGAAUAAAGUGAGUCUCGUGAGACUUUUUGCAUGUACCUUAUGAAUAAGGACCGGCUAAUUCCGUG